CAUAAUCUCUGAGGAGAAAAGCAGGGGAUCGCAAGACCUUGCGCUUUUGGAGCGGCCGAUGCCUGAUUAGCUUGUUGGUAAGGUAAAAGCUUACCAAGGCUUCGAUCAGUAGCUGGUCUGAGAGGACGACCAGCCACACUGGGACUGAGACACGGCCCAGACUCCUACGGGAGGCAGCAGUGGGGAAUUUUGGACAAUGGGGGCAACCCUGAUCCAGCCAUGCCGCGUGAGUGAAGAAGGCCUUCGGGUUGUAAAGCUCUUUCAGCCGGAACGAAACGGUUACGGUUAAUACCCGUGACUAAUGACGGUACCGGAAGAAGAAG
rnacentral:rRNA from 1 species